UCUUUUGGAUGAGUAAAGAAAGUCGUUUCUUAAGAUGGAAUCUACUCCUGGUGAAUAUGCUGUGAA
rnacentral:pre_miRNA from 1 species